rnacentral:tRNA from 1 species
GGGGGUAUAGCUCAGUGGUAGAAUGUGGGCUUGGCAUACACAACAUUCUGGGUUCAAUUCCUGGUACCGCCA